rnacentral:rRNA from 1 species
AGUUUGAUCAUGGCUCAGGGUGAACGCUGGCGGCGUGGAUAAGGCAUGCAAGUCGAACGCCCCGAUUUAUCGGGGAGUGGCGAACGAGGUAGUAACACGUAGGUACGUACCCAAGAGUCGGGCAUAGUCCGCCGAAAGGCGGGGUAAUUCCCGAUAGUCUCUCACGAGUAAAGAUUUAUCGCUCUUGGAACGGCCUGCGGGAUAUCAGCUAGUUGGUAAGGUAAUGGCUUACCAAGGCGAUGACGUCUAGGGGAGGUGAGAGCCUGACCCCCACCGAUGGAACUGAGACACGGUCCAUACUCCUACGGGAGGCCGCAGUCGAGAAUCUUCCGCAAUGGGCGAAAGCCUGACGGAGCGACGCCGCGUGGUGGAUGAAGUCCUUAGGGACGUAAACACCUUUUCUGAGGGAGGAAGUUUAUUGACGUUACCUCAGGAAUAAGGGGCUCCUAACUCUGUGCCAGCAGGAGCGGUAAUACAGAGGCCCCAAGCGUUACCCGGAUUUACUGGGCGUAAAGGGUGUGUAGGCGGUUAUGCUAGUCCUUUGUUAAAUCCUUGGGCUCAACCCAAGAAUUGCGGGGGAAACGGCAUAACUUGAGGGUGCAAGAGGUCUAUGGAACUCAUGGUGUAGGGGUGAAAUCCGUUGAUAUCAUGGGGAACACCGAAAGCGAAGGCAGUAGGCUGGUGCAUUCCUGACGCUGAAACACGAAAGCCAGGGUAGCGAAUGGGAUUAGAUACCCCAGUAGUCCUGGCCCUAAACGUUGUCUGUUGGUUUUUCGGAGUAUCGACCCUCUGGGAGACGAAGCUAACGCGUUAAACAGACCGCCUGGGUAGUACGGCCGCAAGGCUAAAACUCAAAGGAAUAGACGGGGGCUCGCACAAGCGGUGGAUCAUGUGGUUUAAUUCGUCGAUAAGCGAAGAACCUUACCAAGACUUGAAACCAUGACGAAAUCCCGCCGAAAGGCGGGACCUCUUCGGACGGCAUGGCAGGUGAUGCAUGGCCGUCGUCAGUUCGUGAUUUGAAUUGUUCCCUUAAGUGGGGUAACGAACGCAACCCUCGUUGCCUGUUAUAUAUGUCAGGCGAGACUGCUCCCUCACGGGAGAGGAAGGUGAGGAUGACGCCAGGUCAGCAUGUCCCUCUGAUGUCUUGGGCUACACACGUGAUACAAUGGCUGUUACAACAGGACGCAAUGUCGAAAGACGGAGCAAAUCCUUAGAAAGACAGCCCAAGUUCGGAUUGAGGUCUGCAACUCGACCUCAUGAAGUUGGAAUCGCUAGUAAUCGCAGGUCAGCAACACUGCGGUGAAUACGUUCUCGAGCCUUGUACUCACCGCCCGUCAACUCAAGGAAGCCGGGAGUGCCCGAAGUGUCCCUUUUAGGGAUCCGACGGUAAACUCGGUGACAGGGAGUAAGUCGUAACAAGGUAACCAA